rnacentral:rRNA from 1 species
GACGAACGCUGGCGGCGUGCUUAACACAUGCAAGUCGAACGCAGUGGCGAACGGGUGAGUAGCGCGUAAUCAACCUGCCCUUCAACGGGGGACAACAGUUGGACACGACGGCUCAUACCACAUACUGUAGGAGGGGCUUGCGUCUGAUUAGCCAGUUGGAGGGGAAAAGGCCCACCAAGGGGAUGAUCAGUAGCCGGUCUGGUAGGAGGAACGGCCCCAUUGGGACCGGGAAACGGCCCAGACUCCUACGGGAGGCAGCAGGGGGGAAUCUUCCGCAAAGGACGAAAGGCUGACGGAGCAAAGGCGGGUGAGUGAUGACGGCCUUCGGGUUGUAAAGCUCUGUUAAUCGGGACGCGGUACCGGAAUAGAAAGCCACGGCUAACUACGUGCCAGCAGCCGCGGUAAUAC